rnacentral:lncRNA from 10 species
UUUGCUGUUGGUGGGGGCAGGGAGCAUGGUACAGGGGUGACUGAGUUCCUGCUUUGUUAGUUCCCACUGAAACUGAUUGACAAAAAGGGCCUGGCACCUCUCUCUUCUCUCUCUUUCUCUCUCUCACCAUGUGAUCUAUGCAUGCCUGUUCCCGUCUGCUUGCACUAAGAAUGGAAACAGCCUAAGUUCCUCACCAGAAGCAGAGGCUGGCACCAUGUUUGUUAUGCAGCCUGCAGAACCAGAAAUCAUGGGAAAAACUGCCCAUUUCUGUUUUGUCCACUUUGCUUUGGGAAGUGAGAGCUAUAGUCAUUAUCACCACAUCCCCUGGCAUCCAAUUCCGAUUAAUAAUUCAAUUCCAGCUUUCCUGGAAGCCAGAAGUCAAAAUAUACUUGGGAUUUCUAUAAAUAUUUUUUAAUUAUGACCAUCGAACUCCAAGUACUUCAGAUUUGGAACUCGGACUGCUUUCCUUGCUCCUCAGCCUGCAGAUGGCCUAUUGUGGGACCUUGUGAUUAUGUAGUGAGACGAGCAUGAGUGGAGCAGGAGACGGCUGUCCCCCACCCACAAGGAAUAUCAGAUGAUGGUUCAGCGAUCAUCACAUUGCCUCUCUGAAAGUGAUAAAUUGGCAGCUGGCACCAGGGAGAGGCUAUUUCCUGAUGGCCCACACCUGUUGCACUAAGAUGUUAAUCGAAUGCAGAUUCCAGGGAGAAACAACUUCCUGGGCAUGUGCGUAAGAGACAAAAUGGCAGUAAAAAUUAGAGAAUGAGAUCAGAAUAUGGAUACAUUGCAAGAGGUGGAGCCCUGGAACAAAAGUAAGAGCUGAGGACUAUCCUGAUCAAAUAUGCAUACUUCAAAGAUUGCUUCAAUGGACCGAAUGGAAGGAAGAGGUUGCUGAUACCAUGGAAAUCAGUUAAAAGGCUCAUGAAAGAAUGCAAACAAAAAGUUUUUUCAACUGAAUUUGUCCUGCUCUACACCUCUUCCUCCACCCCUCCAAAAUAAAACAAGAUAAUACUGCCAAAUCUUGGAUAAGUAUUAUUCUUUCUAUUAUAAUCCAGAGGAGAUCAAACGCAGUUAGGCUAAAGAGAUUUAAAAAGUUUAUCCAUGUAAUUUAUGGCAAGAUGAAUAGCACAGUAACCUUGGCUGAAUCAGUACGUAGAGCACCAAGCUGAAUUUCGAAAGGAUAACAAAUGGAAGCAGAAACCACCCUGUAAUCGAAGCUACUAAGUUCAAAAUUGGCCUGAGGAAUUUCACCUGCUGUUGUGGACUUAUUUAACAGAUAUAAAAACAAAAGUUGAGUCCGGUUCUGGAAGUAAAGGGUGAGUCCAAGAAAUCCCUGAAUGGAUCCACCAUCUCUGGCCUAAUCAAUGUCACCAUGAAGGGGACCUGCAGGCAUUAGAGUGGGUCUUAGUCAUCAUCUCCAUGACUGAGCGGUGAAGAAGGAACCCAGGUGCCACUCAUUAUUGGAUCUCUCUCAGUCUCAGAAAAUAAGCUUUGCACCCGGGGCAGAGAUGAGGAGCAGAUAAAGUAGCAGCUCCCAGUGACCUCAAAUCCACAGAAUCUUUCAGUUACGUGUACUGUAAGAAAUAUUUAAGAUAUAAUUAACUGAAACACACUAAGAAAGAUACUAUGUGCAGUAGAUUGUUAUAAAGAAGGUAAACCAGGAAGCAACUCUGUGGUUUAUGAGGUGGAAAGGCUUGAGGUUUGAUGUCGUUAAAGGGAAUUAAGUACAGAGGCCACAAAUGUUACAGGUGGUGCUGCAGUUGAAGGCAGAAAAUAUGCAGCGAUCAUAACUCUAAUACAUAUUACCCACAACAGAUUACCUCCAAAAUGGUGACAGUCAGGCCACCUCCAAAAUGAUGAGUCAGGAAAAGAUGAAGUUAGAGAGCUCUCCUUGAAAGCAACCCAGUAGCUUCUUUCUUAUUAAAUGAGAAAAUACUAUUACUCUCUAUCACUAUAUGUUAAGCUUCCCUGAGCUGAGAACACUGACAGCCAUGGCUAAGGUACAGGAGGUAGACCAAUGAGACAGAACAUGCACUAGGAAUGAAGAUGAACACUUUGAAGAGGACCAGCUUACCAAUGACAGCUUAGAGAUACCAUCAGUAAAGAGGGUAAGAAAAAAUCAGACAACAAAACCCAGGAAAAACAGCUACCUCAAUUUUGGUACUGCUAUCCUUUUAAUUACCUACCCAAACACAAGAAAAUUGAUAAAGAGGGGAAAUCUAGCAUAUUACUCAUCUGAAAACAAAAUCCCUUAUCACAGAAAAUCUUAAACUCUUGCUACACAAAGUGUAAUUCAGGGACAAGCAGCAGCGCCAUCUCAUAGAACCUUGUUAGACAUACAGAAACUGAAACCCCACCUCAAAUCUACUAAGUCAGAAUCCUCACUUUUACAGUUUUCUCAGUUGUACACAUUAGGGUUAAGUAGCACUCCCUUAAAUCACAAUAAGCCUGCUACAGACUGAAUAUUUGCAUUCCUCCAAAAUUUAUAUGUUGAAAUCUAACUCCCAGU